rnacentral:lncRNA from 1 species
AUGGGUUUUCGUGUUGAAAAGAUGAGGUGCAAAAAAAAAUCUACCAUUUUCCACCAUACAGUUAAAAUCGUCUUCCUCUUGAAUUGUGUGAUGACGGUUAGCAGUAAGCGAAGCGAACGAACCUCCUUUGGGACACUUGGGACGAUUGAAUUUAAGGCUGGAGAUACGAUCCUCAUCCCUUGUAUUUCAGUCCUCGGACGUUUCACAUUUCCCUACCACUCUUAUUUUGCCGUUUCUGAUACGCACCUCUUUAGCGUGCAAGCAUCAAAAUGGAACGAAACGAAGCCGUUUAUAGUUAGACGAGAUAGCUUAACGGACGAAAUGAAAAAGUUCAAAGCAAAGCUGGUAAAGCCAGACCCUGAGAGACCGCGCUUGGACCUGGAGGCGAAAGCAAUCCCUCUCGCUUAUAGGAUAACCACAACGGAUCUACCUUACAAUUUGUUCAAGUGCAACUGCAGACAUUACUGCGAUUUCCUCACCUACAACAAAACCUACGGCACCUAUUUAAACCCUGGCUAUCAACCCAUGAGCAAAAAGUGCCCUCUCGCAGAAGUUAUCGAAGUGGCCGAUCGGAAUUUCGUUCUCAAGAACAAGAGAAAUCGCGAAUUCACCUUAAGCGGGCCUAAGUGGCCGAUCAAGAAGAAACACCGCGAACACACCUCAACCGCGGGUAAGGUGCAGGGCGAUCCGGAUUCCGCUCUCAAGGACAAGAGGCACCAUGGACACACCUCAACCGCGGGUAUGGUGCAAAACGAUCCGGAUUCCACUCUCAAGGGCAAGAGACACCAUGAACACACCUCAACCGCGGGUAUGGUGCAAGACGAUCCGGAUUCCGCUCUCAAGGGCAAGAGACACCAUGAACACACCUCAACCGCGGGUAUGGUGCGAAACGAUCCGGAUUCCGCUCUCAAGGGCAAGAGACACCAUGAACACACCUCAACCGCGGGUAAGGUGCGGGGUCAUCCGACUCUGGGGGACUUAUUCAAGAAACCUCACUAAAAUCCAGGCUCAUACCAAGGUUCGUAAAACGAGAAUAUGCUCCUCUAUAACAAACCAUCCAAAAUUUAUAAAAUGCUCAGUCGCGUCUAGAGUACUCGUAUACGAGAGAGAUCUCUGUGCCACUCUCUGCUUGAUUCAUCAGUUUUAGGCUAUCAUGGAGCUCCAAAGUUGGCCCAAUGUAAACAAACCCGACCCAGAGGAAUACGUAUUAUCUAGAGUCCCUUUAUACCCAGAGUUACGACAUCUCACUUUCGGUUGGGCUGAAAGUGGCCUAAAAAAAAUCCAAUUCCGAUUGGUGCUGGCUCAUGGAGUCACAAAUGAGUGCACCAAGAUGGCGGUACCUCGAAUGUGAACAAAAAUAAUGAAAAUAUUGCCAAACUGUGGUUUAUUAAGAGUGAAUUGUUAUUUUCAUCGCACCGAAAUGAAAAUAGAUUAAGAAAUUAUCCACUAAUCAAUCUAAUUUUAUUUUAUUGCGAUUUCUUGGGUUAGGUUCUGAUCAGUUUUGUUGAUGUUGUUGUUUUUGGAUGACAGACAUCGCAGGGUUCCUUAUCCUUAUCCCUCAAUAUCGUUUGUUUGGGUGCACACUUUUGUGACACCAUGGCCAGCCCGGGCCAGCUGACAAUCGAGAUGUCGUCACUCAGGGUAUAAAGGGACUCUAGUAUUAUCGGCUGAAAAAUGAAUGACAAUCACACUCAAAGCUUAAUUUCGGCAAAAAAUAUCCAUUAAAAGUCGAUCCGAACUCAAUUCAAAAGUUGAUCAUAAAAAAUUUCUAUCACAUCCAAAAUCACGUUUAGAGCUUUGUAGGACUUUUUCCCCAUCUUGUUUGUUUACAUCGGGCCAAACUAGGAGCAAAGGGGCAGGGUUUGUUUACAUUGGGCCAACUUUGGGGCUCCAUGAUAGCCAACCAGUCAGAGAGCGGCAUACUUUUUCUGUAGUAAUACAGGUUAAAAAUCGCGUCGAUUUUUUUAGUUUGGCGGGAAGUUUGAAAAAGGGUUCCGAUUCUGCAAUACUCGAUUCUCAUUGGCCCGCUUCUCUCCCGAACAAUUGUUUAGUGUACUCGUGUCAUGGCCAGCACUGACUUCUUUGACCAACAUUUGUCACGAUUGAAGAAGUUAGUGCUGGUCGUGACGCAUGACGUGGGCACCUAAUAAUUGGUCAGAACAUGGCGAAAAUCGGGCCAAUGCGGAUCCAAUUUUGCAGAAUUGGGAUCCUGUUUCAAACUUAGCACCAAGACUGAAAAAAAAAAAAAAAAAUAAAUGUAACUGAGCGUUUUGUCGAUUUCGGAUGCUGGCAUUAGAGAGUAGCAUGCCUUCGUCCUAAAUACCCGGGCCAUUUCUUGAAACUUGCGGGCUGAUUAUUGAAAUUUUGUGUUUGUUGGCCGGACAUUGGUGACAAAGGUUAUGGCGGAGCGUGAUUGGUCGGUUAUGUCUUAGCGCUGCUUUGUCGUGCCUUUGUCAGAUGGAAUGACCGACAUACUGUCGGAAACUCAAGAGGUACCUCUAUCUUGUGAGAUCCAGCUGACAAAGGCACGACAAAGCGGCGGUAAGACAUAAUCGACCAAUCACGCUCCGUCAUUUUGGCUGAGUUUAUCAGAAAGGAACCAACACACAUUUUCGAAAAAAUUGAGUUAGGAAUGUUUUUGAGUUUUACUGGCUUUAUAUUUUCUCCUGUCAAAAACUGAAAGUCAAAACACAAAAACAAAAAAUUGUGAAAAGAGGGACAAAAGUUCAUUUUUUACAAGAAUAAAACUUCAAACCUCUUUUUCCCAGUUUCAACUUAAUGUGGGUUGGUUCCUUUCUGAUGAGCGCGGUCCAUUUAACAUAUAUAGGUCAUCUACGACCGCCCGACAAACACAAAAUUGUCCAAAAACCAAAAACUCUUUUCACGUUUGGUAUGUAUUACAGUAGAUUAGAUUAUGAAGAUAAAGAACAUGUUCUACACAUUUUUUCACCACACUUCCCUUUUCCCCUAGAAGAUUACUUUGUAAAGUCCUUCAUCUGACAUUAUUAAUAUUGUUUUCCUUUAAAUACAUGAAAUUAUUACCUGAGAGUUUGGUGAAGCUGAUUAUUAAUAAUUCGUUUUAACUGAACAAUGCAAUGCACUAACGAGUUUUAAUAGGGUUGGGUUGAGUUUUAAAAGGCACUAAUGAACUGUUAGAGAUGUGCCAAUGUAUUGGAAUCCGCUUAAAAUGCACGCAACUUUUUUUUAAAAAAAAAUUCAUCCUUCGUUUUAGAUCCGUCCAAUUAAAUUUGGUAAUUAAGGUACCGUUCAAGUAUUGACGCAAGACAUUUUGACCAACAACAUAAACAUCACCCUCAUUUUUUAUAAAUAAACGGAAAUAGCCUGGAAAGUUAUUGAAACAAAUAUUUUAAUUGGAAAAGAUCAUUACUUUACGAAGCAGUGGGUUGCAUGCCAGACUGAGCUUACCUCUCCUUCCCCUCAUUAGACCCAGGUAGGCAAGUUCAAAUACCCUCCACCUUAAGUAGUCUACAGUAGCUUACAUAAUACUUUUACUGCCACUAAGUGCUCCAUCCCUGUCCCCAAAGUACCCACAAUGAUAUGAGGAAACAUCUCGCGCAUCUUUGACUAAAAACAUGGAGUAUUACAUGAUCCGAGUAGGAGGUACCCAUAACGUCCAGCACAAUGCGUAAAGUAUGCCCGUACACCACACAGCACCACAGUAAAAGCAUUAAAUGUAAAAGAAAAGCUUUAGAAAUCAUUAAAUUUGACACGGAACAACCUUAAAAUUUACAAAACGCACAUUAUAUUUUCCUUUAAUACAUAUUUGUUUUCAUUACUUUAAAUAAAAAUAAUACAAGCAGAGUGUGCGAACAUUUCAAAAUCAUGAGUUGAAAAUCGCUGACUUCGCGAGUUUAAAUAUUACAGCCGAACACAGAGCGGAGUGGCGUGCCGCCGCGCCGGUGCGAAACGCGCACAGGCGCCUACAAACCUAAGGGGAUACUUCACGCAUUGCGCA